AAUAUUGGGACAUAUAAAAAAAGACAACUCUGUUCCGCAGAGUAGCUGUUGACAUUGUAGUUGCGCAGGAACUUUGUUGACUCUAGAGAACCUCGGGCAAAUCGCACAUCCCCGUGGCGGCAACUUUGCAUGCGGAUGUCAUCCAUAUCAAUUUUUGAUGCCAGUUUCUGUGCCUACCAUGGUGACCACGGGUAACGGGGAAUCAGGAUUCCAUUCCGUACAGGGACACUAAGAAACGGCUACCACAUGCAAGGAAGGCAGCAGGCACGCAUAUGACCCACUCCUGAUGCGGGAAGGUAGUGA